AAAAAUGCAAUUUUGGACAAAUUGUCAAUUUUUUUUGCUCCUGUUAUGUGCCACAAUACAUGAGAAGUAUAAGGCUACUUCGUAUUUGUAAAGUAGUGGUUUUUUAUUAAUAAAAUAAGUUAUAUACAUAUUAAAUAGCUAAAGGUUAUGUUUACCCACACACCUGAACCAGAAAAGAAAACCAUGUACGAAAAAAUUUAUUUUGAAUUAUUUUUUAUGUAACAACUAAGUUGUUCUGAAGGUGUGUAUAUAACACACAGAUCAGUUAGAUAACAUGACAUCAGUUUAGUAGUAGAAAUUAUUGCAGGCUCUGCUGAGAGUGAUGAUGAAUUAUUGGAUGGGCCUCCACCACCCCCAUUAGUUUCACGACCAACAGCUGUAGCAGCUGCUAUGAGAGUUUUGGAGUUACAGGAGCAACUUGAUGGAUCAUCACACCCAUCAGGUGCACCUCCUCACUCACAGGGUCCUCCACCUCCACCUCUUCCUGGUGGCGGAGGCUCUAAUGUGACGUGUCCAGAUUCUGAACUGGCAGAUGGUGAAAAGGCUUUGCUGCGCCAAAUGUGUAAUGUUGUCUGGAAGAAACUUGAAGAGGUGCCAAGCCAGCACAGAUAAAUGACGUACCUGCAGACUGACAAGGGACACAGACGUGUAUGGUAGUUAGUUGUAUCGUUGAAUUGGGACUCUAUGCAAGUAUCGUACUGUAUAGCAGUAGCUUGUAGUUUUGUUAAUUUUAUAUGACAACUCUUUAGACUUUUAAAACUGUUAUCUCUUGACUUACUCCUAGAAUUAGAAUGGUGCAUCUUGAGGUGCCAAAGGUACAAAAAUCUUUACAGUAUCUGUUUGUAUACAUUUUAUACAGCUGCUGUCAUAAUAGUGUUAUUAUAAUAGGAGAAACAUUACAUUACUCAUGGUGUAAAUAUUUUAUAUAUUGUACGUAUAUUGUAAAUUUAGAUGCUGGUUGUUAAUUGUAAUAGCAAUAUUAUUAGGCAAAUCUUAUUUCUUGGUAUUGAUCGUACAUAUUCUAUUAGAUUUUUAUACUCCUAAUUAGAUUUGUAUAGGCAUGUUUGACUCAAGUAAAAUUAUAGGUCUAUUUUUUAAGCUGGAGUCAGUGAUUCCUGUGGCUUAGAUUAUAUUGGUGUUUCAUGUUAUUUUAUGUACAGCUUAUGAACAAUAGUAUAUAAAAACUCGUAAAUGUAAAAAGGAAUUGUCAACUUUUAUUUUUAUUUAUAAAAUACAUAUUAAAAUUUGUACAUGUAC